UGCUGAUGCGGAGUCUGGGCUGCGUGUCCCCUAAGGACGGCGUCCCUGCUGUCUCAGAAGAGAUGCCCCGGUUUUAUAAGAAAUACUCUUUAAUAUCUCCGUAAUGACGUCCAUAGAGAAUUAUCACCUGCUCAUGCUCCAAAUUUCAAAAAGGGUGGGCCUACGGCGGACAUUCAGCACCCGGGCCAGAGGACAGAGCCUGAUGGGGCCAGGCCCUCCAGUCUCAGCACCAGGGACCCCUGGACCUCUGGGAUCUGCUUGCUCCUGGGCCUGGAUGUGAGACCAGUGCCUCCCAGACCUGCGGUUCGGGGCCAGUUUUGUUUCUUUUUUUCAGUUCAUCAUGGGCUGAUAGUUCUGUAAAAUACAGUAAAUAUGGAAGUGGGGAAAUGGAGACGAAGAGACAUGUAACAAACAUUAUUAGAUUCAACGG
rnacentral:lncRNA from 1 species